UAGCUUAACCUGGUAAAGCAAAGA
rnacentral:tRNA from 1 species